AAAGUAAACAACUACCCAGAAAACCAAAACAAGGUUAAAAAACUGUACCUUGAAGUAAUUAGCAAACUGUAAAGGUUAGUUUAACAUAGGUUGGUUAAGUUUCUGAAAACGAUAGUAGUAUUUAAGAAAGUGAGAGACAUAUAAGAGAGAAG